GGGGAAUAUUGGACAAUGGGCGCAAGCCUGAUCCAGCCAUGCCGCGUGAGUGAUGAAGGCCCUAGGGUUGUAAAGCUCUUUCAACGGUGAAGAUAAUGACGGUAGCCGUAGAAGAAGCCCCGGCUAACUUCGUGCCAGCAGCCGCGGUAAUACGAAGGGGGCUAGCGUUGUUCGGAAUUACUGGGCGUAAAGCGCACGUAGGCGGAUUGAUUAGUCAGAGGUGAAAUCCCGCAGCUUAACUGCGGAACUGCCUUUGAUACUGUCUGUCUAGAGGUCGAGAGAGGUGAGUGGAAUUCCGAGUGUAGAGGUGAAAUUCGUAGAUAUUCGGAGGAACACCAGUGGCGAAGGCGGCUCACUGGCUCGAUACUGACGCUGAGGUGCGAAAGCGUGGGGAGCAAAC
rnacentral:rRNA from 1 species